UACGUAGGGUGCAAGCGUUAAUCGGAAUACUGGGCGUAAAGCGUGCGCAGGCGGUGAUGUAAGACAGUUGUGAAAUCCCCGGGCUCAACCUGGGACCUGCAUUUGUGACUGCAUCGCUGAGAGUACGGCAGAGGGGGAUGGAAUUCCGGCGUGUAGCAGUGAAAUGCGUAGAUAUGCGGAGGAACACCGAUGGCGAAGGCAACUCCCCUGGGCCUGUACUGACGCUCAUGCACGAAAGCGUGGGGAG
rnacentral:rRNA from 1 species